rnacentral:rRNA from 1 species
AUUGAACGCUGGCGGCAUGCCUUACACAUGCAAGUCGAACGGUAACAGGUUAAGCUGACGAGUGGCGAACGGGUGAGUAAUACAUCGGAACGUGCCCAGACGUGGGGGAUAACGUAGCGAAAGCUACGCUAAUACCGCAUACGAACUGAGGUUGAAAGCGGGGGACCGUAAGGCCUCGCGCGUUUGGAGCGGCCGAUGGCAGAUUAGGUAGUUGGUGGGGUAAAGGCUUACCAAGCCUGCGAUCUGUAGCUGGUCUGAGAGGACGACCAGCCACACUGGGACUGAGAAACGGCCCAGACUCCUGCGGGAGGCAGCAGUGGGGAAUUUUGGACAAUGGGCGCAAGCCUGAUCCAGCAAUGCCGCGUGCAGGAUGAAGGCCUUCGGGUUGUAAACUGCUUUUGUACGGAGCGAAACGGCUUCCACUAAUACUGGGGGCUCAUGACGGUACCGUAAGAAUAAGCACCGGCUAACUACGUGCCAGCAGCCGCAGUAACAC